GAAGAAAGUAAGCAGAACACCACAAAACUGGUUGCUGUUUCACCUGUGCUUCUGGGAGCUGUCCUGAUGGCUUGAGAAAGACUGGGCGGCCCCAACGUUCAACUUUCUGUUCUGUCACAUGAUACCCGGUCCAGAAAGGAACGCCUCCCUGAUGUCUGCUGACUCUCAACAAAAUGACUACUGUUAAGUGGAACCAUCCAAUAAUACAGCAUUCUGGCGGCCUGUCUUUGGGUCCAGGGAGUACAGUGGUGCCAGCUCCAGAAUUCUAGACUCCUCUGUUUAUGUGGACAUUUAUUUCCAGAGAGUCCCUUUUCCAGCAUGAUUUCCCUACCAUGAUCAGAAUCAAAACAGGUAAGGGUGGCCUGUAACACAGUUCCUGUUUAGAUAUGUGUUUGCAGCGAUGGCAGCCAUUUUGUGACCAGGAGACAGCGUAAGAGAAUCACUCGAUGCUGCCUUUGACCUUGUGGAGCUGCUAUACCAGUGCCAGGAGCUGCCUAUCUCCAGACAUCUUGUCAGGGGAGAAAAAUGCCCCAUAUUCAGUUCAGGUCUUGAAGCUUGGGAUUUCUGUUACUUCCAGCUACUUGUCUAAUCUACCCCAGACCACACAUCCGCCUUUCUAGGGGCAAACACAAAUUGUCUUUGCUAAGCUUUCAGUACUCUUCUUUCUCAUGCAACUUCCUACCAUUGAGGGGUGUUCCCCUGUCCUUCUGGAUUUGGAAAUUAUGACACUCUGCUUGCUGAGGCCCUAGAGAAUUCCUCCUUCAUCCACAGUACUCUGUGACUAUUAAAAGCCUGAGUGAUGGAAAAAACACGAACCAGAAUGUCAGGAGGUGCAAAUUCCAGCCCCAGCCCUGCCAGCACACACUGUGUGUACUCAGGCAAGUCACUCGGCCACUCGGGACGUCAACUGCACAUCUGAGAAAUGAAGAGCUGGGUUAGAAUAUCUCCAAGGUCUCUUUUAGCUAUAACUCCUGCGGAUGCUGAUGGAAAUGGGUGCAAACACAUCUUUUCCCUCUUGGUUUCAAGUUGAUCUCUGAGUAUCUGGUGUAUUUUGAUAUUA